UACGUAGGGUGCAAGCGUUGUCCGGAAUUAUUGGGCGUAAAGAGCUCGUAGGCGGUCUGUUGCGUCGGCUGUGAAAACCCGGGGCUCAACCCCGGGCCUGCAGCCGAUACGGGCAGACUAGAGUUCGGCAGGGGAGACUGGAAUUCCUGGUGUAGCGGUGAAAUGCGCAGAUAUCAGGAGGAACACCGGUGGCGAAGGCAGCUCUCUGGGACGGUACUGACGCUGAGACGCGAAAGCGUGGGGAGCGAACAGG
rnacentral:rRNA from 1 species